rnacentral:rRNA from 1 species
AGGAUGAACGCUGGCGGUAUGCUUAACACAUGCAAGUCGUACGGGUGGAACUUGUUCCAUCUAGUGGCGGACGGGUGCGUAACACGUAAGAACCUACCUUUUGGAGGGGGAUAACAUUGGGAAACUGAUGCUAAUACCUCGUAAUACUGAGGAGUUAAAAGCGGGUAUCCUGCAAGGGAGCUACGCGCCAAGAGAGGGGCUUGCGGCUGAUUAGCUAGUUGGUGGGGGUAAUGGCCUCCCAAGGCCACGAUCAGUAGCUGGUCUGAGAGGACGACCAGCCACACUGGGACUGAGACACGGCCCAGACUCUUACGGGAGGCAGCAGUGAGGAAUUUUCCACAAUGGGCGAAAGCCUGAUGGAGCAAUCCCGCGUGGAGGAAGAAGGUCUGUGGAUCGUAAUCUCCUUUUCUCAGAGAAGAACAAAUGACGGUAUCUGAGGAAUAAGCUCCGGCUAACUAUGCACCAGCAGCCGCGGU